rnacentral:tRNA from 2 species
GCUCACGUGGUGAAAUUGGUAGACAUGCAAUCUUGAGGGGGUUGUGUCCUAUGGACGUGCUGGUUCGAAUCCAGUCGUGAGCACCA